ensembl:lncRNA
GUUGCAUGGGGCUCCUCCGUGCCCAAUCCCAAAUGUUCCCAAUCGCGGAUGCAGCAAUAAAAGAAAAGCACACAGAGAAAUCCAACAGAGCUCCUUUUCAUCGUCUGCCACCCUCGGACCGUCUGGAAUGAGGAGCAUCGGAGGCGCCUCCAGCUGAUGAGCAGCGGUUGCCUUCAUUUACAAAUAGCUGCUGUGAUUAAUUGCACGGAGGAGACGCGUUCCUCCUCUCGGUGCUGAUGAGCCCUUUGGGGAGCGGGGUCACAUUGCAAACACUGCUCCCAGAUGCACGGCCGCAUCGGUGCUUUUGCACAGCAGGGACGCACCACCAGGCUGCUGGUUUGCACAGCAGGGAUGCACCACCAGGCUGCUGGUUUGCACGGCAGGGAUGCACCACCAGGCUGCUGGUUUGCACAGCUGGGAUGCACCACCAGGCUGCUGGUUUGCACAGCUGGGAUGCACCACCAGGCUGCUGGUUUGCACAGCAGGGACGCACAGCCACAGUGGUACUUUUGCACAGCAGAGAUGCAGGGCCGUGCCGGUGCUUUGCACAGGAGGGAUGAACAGCCACAGCAGUGCUUUUGCACGGGACGGAUGCACAGCAGGGAUGCACAGCAGGGAUGCAUGGCCACACUGGUGCUUUUGUACAGCAGGGAUGCACAGCAGGGAUGCACGGCCACACUGGUGCUUUUGCAUGGCAGAGGUGCUUUGGCCACAUCAGUACUUUUGCACAGCAGAGAUGCACAACCAUGCUGGUGCUUUGCACGGCAGGAAUGAACAGUCACACUGGUGCUUUUGCACGGCAGGGAUGCACAGCAGGGAUGCACAGCAGGGAUGCACAGCCCCGCCAGUGCUUUUGCAUGUCGGGGAUGCACAGCCAUGCAGAGCAGUGGGGAGGCUGAAGGGACACGGUGGCAUCCUGACCCCCAACAUGGGCUGCAAGGGCACCGCAUGUCCCCGAGCUGAGGCUGUGCAGCAGUGCUCGGGAGCCACUGUGCUGCUGGAGGCUGCAGCCUGCACGGUGCAUGCACAGAGAAUCCACUGGCAGCAAACAGAGAGAGGAACCCAGGCUUUUUGAGGCCAUUAAUGAACCCACAGCACUUUCUGAAAGAGUCCCCAUGCUCGCUGCAAAGCCCUGGCCCCGCUCCAGCCAUAGUAAUUACAUUCUGCCUAUGAGAUCUCCCCUGAAUUUGUGAUCAGGAUGGGAGAGAGUAUCAGCAGGGCAAGGAUGAAGGAACACCAAGUGGGAUGCUGGGGGGCGGCGGGGCUGCUGGAGGGGGGGGGGUUGGGGAUGCUGGGAGGUUUGGGGAUGCUGAAGGGCUGUUGGGAUGCUGGGGGGUGGGGUUGGGAUGCUGAGAGCUAUCAGGAUGCUGUCCCUUCUCCUUGUCCCCAAAGCUCCCCGCCCUGAGCCCCAAUCAGCCCUUAAGCCCACAGUGCAGGAUGCUCCAUAGGGAUAAAUCCUCCUGGAAAGAGAUGCGGGACCCCAACCCAGAGUGGUUGGGGGGGGGGGGAGAUGGCACUGUCCCCCACAGCCACCCCUGCUCAGCAUGCAGAGCUGCUCCGCCGGUGACAGGUUGAUGCAAGAUGACUUAUAUAAGGCGUGUGGAACCGGAGUCAGCAGUAAUGAGACGCUCGUGAAAUCUUGCACCGAUCUGUGUCAGCGCCCUAAUCGCAGGCGACAGCUGGGCUCUGCGGCUGCUUGGGGAUGAUAAUAUUAAUGUCAGGAAGCAUCAAGCAGAGGAUGCGCCUUUCAAAGGGGGGAUUACACUCCUCGUGGAAGAAAAGGAAACAGCCCUCAGCUUUGCUGCUGGAUGCUGGGGGUUGGCAGGAGGUGGGGGGGGGGGGAGGAUCCAGGGUUUGCACCAGCAGAGUGCACGUGUGUAUGGGCAGGGUGAGCGGGGAGAUGGUGUGAGCACUGCUGCACGUGCAGUGGUGUGCAUUUCAUUGCCUGUUACUGAUGUACCUUGCAUCCCAUCCCCUUGCUCACACUCCAUCCUCCAACCCAUCCCCUGCUUCUGCUCCACCCUGCAGCCCAUCGCCUGCUCACGCUCCACCCUGCAGCCCAUUCCAUCCCAUCCCAUCCCCUGCUCAUGCUCUAUCCUGCAUCCUAUCCCAUCCCCUGCUCAUGCUCCAUCCUGC